GCCAGAUCCGGGACUUCAGGGUCUCCGCGGGAGCUUAGGAGGCUCAGGAUCUGAGUUGGAGAGCUGGAAGGCCAAACUCCGAGCCGCUGAGGGACUGCGCAGGAAGACCACAGAAAUAAACCAAAGGGACACCGCGGACAGAUGUACCAGAAGACACCACUGAAGUCCAGGAGAAUCUCCACCAAAGCCAUCAGCGUUUUCCUUGUAGCUUUCUGUCCCUCGAAGUGGAAAAUUGAGGUUUCUGAGAAGUCCACGGAGAGAACCUGCAGCAAACUGAAGCCACAGACUCCGAAGGCAUAGGGAGAAAAAAUGCUUCCAUCCCCCUUUCACUUUAAACUUGAUCGCUUCUGGGACUUCACUGGAGGGCGGUGGAGUUGCACCAACCUGGAGUACAGGCAGAUCCCAGCGAGCACUUCCAAGUACUUUAGGACGUGGGGGUGACUCCUUUUUCUUCAGGAUUGUCCCACUUGCCACCCUUUCCAGCUGAGCUGAUAGGAACCAAUGAAAGUCUAGGCGAUGAGGAUUUUCCGUUACCUCAGGGAUCAAAGUAUAAAAUGUUGAAUGAGAAACCCGAAGACCUUGCAUCGCUGGGCUGAAUAACUUUUUGUUUUCUUUUUUAUGGUGUCCAGACUGAGGUCAUUUUUCUGAGGACCAAUGGUGAUAAGUGUUGGUCUGCCUAUCUUCCCAGAAUAAUCCAAGAUUUGGGGAAAGAAAGAGUAUUUUGCUAAUUUCAGCAAAGAAACGUAUAUUGGGGAAAGGAUACUGUAUUCAGUAAAUUGUGCUGGAAAAAGUGGUAAGCCACAUGCAGAAGAACGAAACUGGGUCCCCAGCUCUCACCUAAUACAAAAAUCGACUCAAGAUGGAUCAAAGACUUAAAUAUAAAACCUGAAACCAUGAAAAUUCUAGAAGAUAACACCAGAAAAACUCUCCUAAAUGUUGGCUUACGCAAAGAAUUCAUGACUAAGACACCAAAAGAAAAUGCAACAAAAACAAAAAUAAAUAAAUGGGACUCAAUUAAACUGAAAAGAUUUUGCACACCAAAUAAAUCAGAAUAGUAAACAGACAACCCACAGAAUGGAAGAAAAUAUUCACCAACUAUGCAUCUGACAAAGGACUAGUAUCCAGAAUUUACAAGGAACUCAAACAAAUAAAUAAAUUCAAAAAUCCCAUUAAAAAGUGUGCAAAGGACAUGAAUAGACAAUUCUCAAAAGAAGAUAUACAAACAGCCAAUAAACAUUAAAAAAAAUACAGCAUCGCUAGUCACCAGGGAAAUGCAAAUUAAAACCACAGUGAGAUUCCACCUUACUCCCGCAAGAAUGUCCACAAUUAAAAAGUCAGAAAACAAUAGAUGUUGGCAUGGAUUUGGUGAAAAUCACAUCAGUGAAUACAGAUUUGGGAAGAAAUUGUGCAUAACUGGUUUCAGCUAGCCAACACGCUGGUCCCAGUAUACCACUGGCUACGGCAUUCUAAAAGUGUCCUCAUAUGGCUCUAUUAAAUAUUCAAGAACUUUGACCAAUAUAUUCUCUGCCAAAUGCUCUCAAGAAAUCUUGGUGGAGAUGGUGUGGGGGUAAGGUGGAGGUUUUUCCAAAGUGGAAUCAUGUUAAUGUGGACUUAAAAUAUGAAUUUUCAAAAAAAUUUGCUUUACUUUCAGUAGGCUAAAUACCUACAUAGUAAAAUUAAAAAAAAUCUGUAAUUCUCUCUUAAUUUAUUCAUUAUACUAUUAUAUGUGGUAGGCAUUGUUUUCCUGGCUCUCAUAUCAUUUGUGUUUGUUUUAUACUAAUGAAACACAGAAAAACUCUGUAGUAUAUAGAGCCCGAUGGAACUUUCAAGAGUAAGAAAUUUUAAUUUGUAUAUUAUGGAAAAGUCAUCUCAGAAAUAUUAGUUUAUAAAUAUGCAGAUACAAUUUCUAGAAUGUCAAAAAAUAAUCCUUUCACCUGAGUUGUCUUAAGUAAAUUACUUUUAGUAUUUUUAAUUGGAUUAUUUAUGUAAUCAUUAUAAAGGAGAUCUGAGGUAAAUUGCUUAAGCAUUCUAUUUAGCUUUUUGCAAGACUAAAAAUGGAGAAUAAAUAUUUGCUCAAAUAUCGAGUCAAACUAAUUUUGAAGAGAAAUCUCUAAAUACUUUAUUAAAUGACCAAAAUAUAAGAAAAUGUUUAAAAAGACUGCAAAUAGAAACACAUCAGUUUAAAGCACACAAAGAGAUAAAUGGAAAAAGUAUUUUCUCAGAACAUGCUAAAAAAACUUAGAAUAUCCAGGAUACUGUAUUUAUUCAUCCUUACAACAUGAAUUUUAAAUAUCUUAGUGACUGUGCUAUCAUUUUCAGUGUUCUGUAUGAAUUCUUACCUUCUCAGAUUAUGUAGAUAUAACAGAUACUUCUGGAAUAUAUAUCCAUGAUAAGAUUUGUCUUUUUACAGGAGAAAAGAAAAUAUAUCAAGUCCAACAGAACUUAAGAAAAUAAAAUUUAAUUAACUUUAUAUGAUAUAGGCCUUGUUAAUAUUAUAUAUCAAAAAAGAAUUCUAGUUUAUAUUCUUUUGCCUGUAAGAUGGGGGAGCUGUUGCAUUAUAAAAAAUGAUGGUCAGUUCCAUUCCUCUAAGCAUUUUCUUUUGAUUAAAAUCAUUUGUAGUAAAAAUGAUGACCCAAACCUUUGUAAAUGAUAUUUUAGCUGGGUUAUAGUCUAAUGAAAUUGUGAUUUUAAAAGUGCUUCAAUUACUACAACUAUAAAAUCUUGGUUUACUAGGAAUAUGUAUAAAGUGAAGUAUCCAUUAUUUCUUUAACAUCAGUAUAUAUUGUUUAACAUUCUACUUUUGGGCUAAGACUUCCUAGGCUUUACAGAAGAGAGGUUGUUUAUCUGAACAGUGUAAAAAUAUGUGUGUGUGUGUGUGUGUGUGUGUAUGUGUAUAAAAAUAUAUGUUCUGUUGUUAUUUAGUUAUGUCUUCCCUGAAAACACUGAUAGAUCCAACAAGUCUCUUGAUUCCUCUUAAAGAUAAGCAAGAAGAAGAAUAAAGUAUGUCACACUUAAACUUGAGUAAAUCCAAGUUGGAAAAACAGAAGCAGAUUUUUUUUUUAAUCCUACAGGAUGAAUGUUGAGAGAGACAAAAAUAUUAACACCACAUAAAUUAUAACCUAGAGAAAUUCUAAACCAGGUUGAAAACCUACGCAUAAGCAGUCAAUAAUUAUCUUACACUUAUGCAAUACAAUUUUUUAUUACAGAAAGAACUUUAGUAAUUACCUCAUGCUGUAUAUAUGGGAAAGGAGAUAAGGAAGAAAAACUCUUUAUAGUAUGCAAUUAGUUAUCUCCUGCCUUAUCUUGGUAUUUGGAGAAACACUUGGAAGUAGGAAAAGUGAACAUUUGUGUCCCUGUUCUAUAGUUUAAAAAAUUGACUCACAUAAGUAAUUUUUAAUUUAUCCAGUUAAUCACCAGUAAUCAUGAUGCUUUAUGAAUGACAAUUCUUUUAUAUUUAUUCAAAAAUAUGGGGAAAAUAAAUGACAUCUGCCUAUAUAACUUAAAAUUCUUGAAGAAAAUGUGUAUAGGAAUAACUUGUUAUGAAAUGUUAUAGAAAUGUUAGUUCUUUGUCUCUUAUAGUUACAGUAAGUGGCUAAUCAUGUCUACCUUUAUGUAUAAUUUAUUUACAUUUUAAAAUGUUCUAACCUUGAAUACAUAGGGAACAAAUAUCUGAUGAUAGGUGUUUGCAAGGCAGCGUCAGUGUUUUCUCUUGAUAUUUUAUCUGAAAUAUCUGAGUAUCUACUAGGAAUCUAACAUGGAAAGGUAAUUACAUAUGAUGAUGGAAGCAAAUUUGUAUACACCCUAUUUAUGGCCAAGCAAAACAAAGUGUAAUGUGUCUGAGCAUGUAUGUGUUCCUUUCACCAAUUUUCUUGUGGUAGAAUUUAUAAAACUGCAUAUAUUCACAAUGUACAAUGUGAUGGUUUGAUGUAUAUAUACAUUGUGAAAUAAUUACCACAAUCAAGUCAAUGAACACAUUCAUCACCUCAGCGUUUUCUAAAAUUACAUUUAUCAAACUGUAUUUGAAAGUAAAUGUGUUUUCUCAUUGUUAACCACGACUUUAAAACUUUAUUACAGAUUAAUGUAAAGAAAGCUACUGAAAUUAAUUUUAGUAAUAAAACAUCUGAAUAUACACCAUGGAAUGUAUAAAUGUAUGUGCUGAUUUUAGGAGUACAACUAAAUAAGUAAUGCAAACUUACUUGCAGGAUCAUCACUUUAACUCUCUCUCUCUCUCUUUCUAUAUAUAUAUGUCUCUCUCAUAUAUAUGAUAUAUCUUAUACAUCUAACUAUAUAUAUGUAGAGGGAGAAAGAGACACUAUAGAGUAAUACAACCUUUCCAUUAACUGCAUAUAAAGUCAGCCUUAUAACAAUGCCCCUGGAUUAUCUGACCCUUUAAUAAAAUGUUAUACAUAUUUAGAGACUUGGAUUGUGCCUGUUUUUACUAACAGUUAUUAUUUAAAAUAUUAUUAGUAAGUUAAUUCAUAUAAACCAUGCAGAGAAGCUGUAUAACUGUGCAUAUAAAUAGUGAAGAGAAACUGAUCUGGCAUUCAGGGAUGUUGAGAUUAUUCCAACUCCGCUGCCAAUUGGCUCUGUGUCUUUGGAGAGGUCACAUAAUAUCUCCGAGCUAGAGUUUCCUUAUCAGUAACAUAGACUAGAUGAUUUUUAAAAUUUCACUCAGCACAUAAUUUGAUCUCUAACUUAAAAGAGCUGGAAUAAAAAUCACCACUAAAAAUUAUUAGCGUUACUAUGGUUGUACUUUGUUUUUAUACAUUACAGGCAUUAAAAACUACCUAGAGUUAAUUAGUAUUCAACAAAAUUAUUUGUUACAAAUCCUAUGCUAUUCUGUAACGCAUGGGUCUAAUAUGUAUUUAAUGUAGCUUUCGUACAACUGCAAAAACUUCAAAGCAUAUCUGAACUUGUGGGUUUUGUAAGACUUGAACGCUAUAAAUGAAAGUAAUGGAAGUUUUAUAUUCUAUUAUCGAUUGUGUGAUUAGAGUUGUUGAGUGGUAACUCAGUGUCUCGUGUGUGUGAAAGAGAGAGAAAUGAUGACAGUUGUAAAAGCCUAAGAUACACAAGACAGAAUAGGGGUUAGGAUCAUAAGCUUGGAAAUUAGAACCGAUAUUUUACUUCCAGUGUCUGCCACAUCUCAGUGGUAUGACUUUGGGAAAGUAGUUUAAUUUCUCUGAGUUACUUCAUCUGUAGUAUGCAGAUUACAAUAGCCACCGCACAGUGGGUAUAAAGAUGAGUAAGGUUAUAUUUUUGAACACGUAGAAGAGUAUCUGACAUACAAUAAGUGUGUACCGUUAAAGUAUACUUAAACAAAAUUUAAUAUUAAUAAAAGCUAUAUAUAGGUAUAUGGUUUUCACUUUUUGUUUUUGUUGUUAUUAUUGUUUUUCUUCAGUGCUGGGAAAACUGGCUAGCCAUAUGUAGAAAGCUGAAACUGGAUCCCUUCCUUACACCUUAUACAAAAAUUAAUUCAAGAUGGAUUAAAUACUUAAACGUUAGACCUAAAACCAUAAAAACCCUAGAAGAAAACCUAGGCAAUACCAUUCAGGACAUAGGCAUGGGCAAGGACUUCAUGCCUAAAACACCAAAAGCAAUGGCAACAAAGCCAAAAUUGACAAAUGGGAUCUAAUUAAACUAAAGAGCUUCUGCACAGCAAAAGAAACUACCAUCAGAGUGAACAGGCAACCUACAGAAUGGGAGAACAUUUUUGCGAUCUAUUCAUCUGACAAAGGGCUAAUAUCCAGAAUCUACAAUGAACUCAAACAAAUUUACAAGAAAAAAUCAAACAACCCCAUCAAAAAGUGGGCAAAAGAUAUGAACAGACACUUCUCAAAAGAAGACAUUUAUGCAGCCAACAGACACAUGAAAAAAACACACGUCAUCACUGGCCAUCAGAGAAAUGCAAAUCAAAACCACAAUGAGAUACCAUCUCACACCAGUUAGAAUGGCGAUCAUUAAAAAGUCAGGAAACAACAGGUGCUGGAGAGGAUGUGGAGAAAUAGGAACACUUUUACACUGUUGGUGGGACUGUAAACUAGUUCAACCAUUGUGGAAGUCAGUGUGGUGAUUCCUCGGGGAUCUAGAACUAGAAAUACUAUUUGACCCAGCCAUCCCAUUACUGAGUAUAUACUCAAAGGAUUAUAAAACAUGCUGCUAUAAAGACACAUGCACAUGUAUGUUUAUUGUGGCACAUAUACACAAAUGUCCAACAAUGUCCAACAAAUGAUAGACUGGUUUAAGAAAAUGUGGCACAUGUACACCAUGGAAUACUAUGCAGCCAUAAAAAGGAUGAGUUCAUGUCCUUUGUAGGGACAUGGAUGAAGCUGGAAACCACCAUUCUCAGCAAACUAUCGCAAGGACAAAAAACCAAACGCUGCAUGUUCUCACUCAUAGGUGGGAAUUGAACAAUGAGAACACAUGGACACAGGAUGGGGAACAUCACACACAGGCGCCUGUUGUGGAGUGGGGGGAGGAGGUAGGGAUAGAAUUAGGAGAUAUAAGUAAGGUUAAAUGACGAGUUAAUGGGUGCAGCACACCAACAUGGCACAUGUAUACAUAUGUAGCUAACCUGCAAGUUAUGCACAUGUACCCUAAAACUUAAAGUAUAAUUAAAAAAAAAGAAAAUCGGCAAAUAUUUAAAAUAAAAAAAGAAAAAGUAUAAAUUCAUCCUAAAUUUAUAAAUUAUUGCUUUAGUCAUGAAGGUCUCUCUCCCAACCAUAAAUAUUAUUUUAUUAUAUAUCUGAGUGAAUAAUAAUUUUCAAAUUUUCAUUCUUUCAUAAAAAUAUAAAAAACUAUAAUACUAAUAUUUUGUUUGAAUGUCUUUAAUAAAACAUUGCCUUUUGUUUAUUUAGAUUACACUGCAUUUUGUUGAAUCACUAAGGAAACAACUUAAAAAAUUCAGACUUAAGCCUCUAACAGCCACAAGAAUGUGUUUAAAUUAACCAGCCACCAGAUAUGUUUGACAAACGUCUACUUCCAAACCUCAUCCGAAGUCACUAUAUUAUGGCGAAUAGAACU